GACGAACGCUGGCGGCGUGCCUAAUACAUGCAAGUAGAACGCACAGUUUAUACCGUAGCUUGCUACACCAUAAACUGUGAGUUGCGAACGGGUGAGUAACGCGUAGGUAACCUGCCUGGUAGCGGGGGAUAACUAUUGGAAACGAUAGCUAAUACCGCAUAAUAUUAAUUAUUGCAUGAUAAUUGAUUGAAAGAUGCAAUUGCAUCACUACCAGAUGGACCUGCGUUGUAUUAGCUAGUAGGUGAGGUAACGGCUCACCUAGGCGACGAUACAUAGCCGACCUGAGAGGGUGAUCGGCCACACUGGGACUGGGACACGGCCCAGACUCCUACGGGAGGCAGCAGUAGGGGAUCUUCGGCAAUGGACGAAAGUCUGACCGAGCAACGCCGCGUGAGUGAAGAAGGUUUUCGGAUCGUAAAGCUCUGUUGUAAGAGAAGAACGGGUGUGAGAGUGGAAAGUUCACACUGUGACGGUAUCUUACCAGAAAGGGACGGCUAACUACGUG
rnacentral:rRNA from 1 species